rnacentral:piRNA from 1 species
UACAAAGUUAUACGAUUCUCUGACGAAAC